UACAGAGGUCUCGAGCGUUAGGCGGAAUCACUGGGCUUAAAGCGUGUGUAGGUGGAUCGUUAAGUACCUUGUGAAAUCCCACGGCUUAACCGUGGAACUGCUUGGUAUACUGGCGGUCUUGAGCCAGCUAGGGGCUACCGGAACAAAUGGUGGAGCGGUGAAAUGCGUAGAUAUCGGGAGGAACAUCAGUGGCGAAGGCGGCCUUCUGGUCCAGUACUGACACUCAAGUGCGAAAGCGUGGGGAGCAAACAGG
rnacentral:rRNA from 1 species